rnacentral:rRNA from 1 species
UAUAGAUGGAUCCGCGCUGCAUUAGCUAGUUGGUAAGGUAACGGCUUACCAAGGCAACGAUGCAUAGCCGACCUGAGAGGGUGAUCGGCCACACUGGAACUGAGACACGGUCCAGACUCCUACGGGAGGCAGCAGUAGGGAAUCUUCCGCAAUGGGCGAAAGCCUGACGGAGCAACGCCGCGUGAGUGAUGAAGGUCUUCGGAUCGUAAAACUCUGUUAUUAGGGAAGAACAUAUGUGUAAGUAACUGUGCACAUCUUGACGGUACCUAAUCAGAAAGCCACGGCUAACUACGUGCCAGCAGCCGCGGUAAUACGUAGGUGGCAAGCGUUAUCCGGAAUUAUUGGGCGUAAAGCGCGCGUAGGCGGUUUUUUA